rnacentral:rRNA from 1 species
GAUGAACGCUGGCGGCGUGCCUAAUACAUGCAAGUCGAGCGAACGGACGAGAAGCUUGCGUCUCUGAUGUUAGCGGCGGACGGGUGAGUAACACGUGGAUAACCUACCUAUAAGACUGGGAUAACUUCGGGAAACCGGAGCUAAUACCGGAGGAUAUUUUGAACCGCAUGGUUCAAAAGUGAAAGACGGUCUUGCUGUCACUUAUAGAUGGAUCCGCGCUGGAUUAGCUAGUUGGUAAGGUAACGGCUUACCAAGGCAACGAUGCAUAGCCGACCUGAGAGGGUGAUCGGCCACACUGGAACUGAGACACGGUCCAGACUCCUACGGGAGGCAGCAGUAGGGAAUCUUCCGCAAUGGGCGCAAGCCUGACGGAGCAACGCCGCGUGAGUGAUGAAGGUCUUCGGAUCGUAAAACUCUGUUAUUAGGGAAGAACAUAUGUGUAAGUAACUGUGCCCAUCUUGACGGUACCUAAUCAGAAAGCCACGGCUAACUACGUG